UNGGAAAGAUGCCUGCUAUUAAUGUGCUU
rnacentral:piRNA from 1 species